rnacentral:rRNA from 1 species
GACGAACGCUGGCGGCGUGCUUAACACAUGCAAGUCGAACGGAAAGGCCCUGCUUUUGGGGGGUGCUCGAGUGGCGAACGGGUGAGUAACACGUGAGUAACCUGCCCUUGACUUUGGGAUAACUUCAGGAAACUGGGGCUAAUACCGGAUAGGAGCUCCUGCUGCAUGGUGGGGGUUGGAAAGUUUCGGCGGUUGGGGGUGGACUCGCGGCUUAUCAGCUUGUUGGUGGGGUAGUGGCUUACCAAGGCUUUGACGGGUAGCCGGCCUGAGAGGGUGACCGGCCACAUUGGGACUGAGAUACGGCCCAGACUCCUACGGGAGGCAGCAGUGGGGAAUAUUGCACUAUGGGCGGAAGCCUGAUGCAGCAACGCCGCGUGCGGGAUGACGGCCUUCGGGUUGUAAACCGCUUUCGCCUGUGACGAAGCGUGAGUGACGGUAAUGGGUAAAGAAGCACCGGCUAACUACGUG